ensembl:snRNA U6 U6 spliceosomal RNA
GUGCUUGCUUUGGCAGCUCAUAUAUUUAAAUUGGAAUGAUAUAGAGAAUAUUAGCAUGGCCUCUGAGCAAGGAUGUCAUGAAAGCUUGUGAUACAUUUAUAUUUUUA